AACAAGAGAGAGCAUUGCAGGGUAACAACCAGGGGGACAUCCAGUCAUGGUGGACCACAGAAACGAGAUCGGAGAAGCAACACAACAGGAGAGCAAGCUUGGAAAAGGACAACAGCCUGUCCGGCAUGUUCAAGCUGCCCCCCUGCUGGGCGGCCCAUGAGCCCGUCGAUAUACCGGUUUGAUGUUGGACGGAAAAUUAGAACCCCCCACAACAAACGGACUGGAACAGAGAGAUUGGAAGAGGGACAGAGAGAAUAGAAAGGGAACAACCAUUGACAGAUGGACUCGGUUGUGAUUAAAGAUGGCGUCAGUCUUCACUGCAGACUACGAAGGACUGUAUCCGAUCUGUAAAGAAGUGGUGGGAGUUGUCUGCGGUUCAGCUCGUCAGAACCAUGAAGAAAGCGGCGUGGCACAUCAGGAGGAAGAAACUGGACUGGACUGCAGAGAUAAACUCGUACAGCAAUGUUCUGCCCCAGUCAGACCUUUCCAAUGGUGGGAAAUUAAGCUGGCUUUAUUAUUACUGCAGGAUUGUGCAUUAAAUACCCCUACAAUGGAAUCAUCAGUGACAGGACCCAGACCUGGAGGAUGCAUGAGGAAGACACUCAAAC